GAUGAACGCUAGCGGCAGGCCUAACACAUGCAAGUCGAGGGGUAGAGGAAGCUUGCUUCCUUGAGACCGGCGCACGGGUGCGUAACGCAUAUGCAAUCUACCUUUUACAGAGGGAUAGCCCAGAGAAAUUUGGAUUAAUACCUCAUAGUAUUUUCGAAUGGCAUCAUUUGAUUAUUAAAGUACCAACGGUAAAAGAUGAGCAUGCGUCCUAUUAGCUAGAUGGUAAGGUAACGGCUUACCAUGGCAACGAUAGGUAGGGGUCCUGAGAGGGAGAUCCCCCACACUGGUACUGAGACACGGACCAGACUCCUACGGGAGGCAGCAGUGAGGAAUAUUGGACAAUGGGCGCAAGCCUGAUCCAGCCAUGCCGCGUGCAGGAAGACGCAUCUAUGGUGUGUAAACUGCUUUUGUACGGGAAGAAACACUCCCUCGUGAGGGAGCUUGACGGUACCGUAAGAAUAAGGAUCGGCUAACUCCGUGCCAGCAGCCGCGGUAACAC
rnacentral:rRNA from 1 species